GCUGUCGUCAGCUCGUGCCGUGAGGUGUUGCCUUAAGUGGCGCAACGAGCGCAACCCCUGUCCUUAGUUGCCAGCGGGUAAUGCCGGGAACUCUAGGGAGACUGCCGGUGCCAAACCGGAGGAAGGUGGGGAUGACGUCAAGUCAUCAUGCCCCUUAUGUCCAGGGCUGCACACAUGCUACAAUGCGCGAUACAGAGGGUUGCGAUCCCGCAAGGGGGAGCGAAUCCCAAAAAGUCGCGCUCAGUUCGGAUCGGGGUCUGCAACUCGACCCCGUGAAGUCGGAGUCGCUAGUAAUCGCAGAUCAGCAAUGCUGCGGUGAAUACGUUCCCGGGCCUUGUACACACCGCCCGUCACACCACGAAAGUGGGCAACACCCGAAGCCAGUGGCCUAACCCUUUUGGGAAGGAGCUGUCGAAGGUGGGGUUGGCGAUUGGGGUGAAGUCGUAACAAGGUAGCCGUACCGGAAGGUGCGGCUGGAUCACCUCCUUUCUAAGGAGUACGCCUCUCUGAGGCACCUGCGACGCUCGGCUUCAGCCGGGUCGGUCAGGAACUCCCAGUUGAUGCGCUAGCUACUCGGCCUCGAAGGUGCCAGACGAUCGCAGACCUUGGUCUCUCGUCUGAUCCACUGGAGAAGCCGCUGUCCUCUAUUCCGUUUUGAGGGAGUGCCCCGAGCCCCGCCCCCGGCCUAGCGUCGGAGUCGGGGCUCUUGUCACGCCCUCAGGCGAUCGGUCCGUUCCCACUCGUAGCUCUCGAAGCUCGAGCGCCACGGACAUCGACCUCCGGCAGUACGCCGGCAGCGCCCCUUGAGAAUUGCAUAGCGAGCACGAGCAUCUUUGUUCUUCCAAGCUACAAAGAGCCAACGGUGGAUGCCUUGGCGUCUACUACCGAUGAAGGACGUGGGUGGCUGCGAUAAGCCACGGGGAGCCGCCUACCAGGCUUUGAUCCGUGGAUGUCCGAAUGGGGAAACCCGG
rnacentral:sRNA from 1 species